UACGGAGGGUGCAAGCGUUAUCCGGAUUCACUGGGUUUAAAGGGUGCGUAGGCGGGUAAUUAAGUCCGUGGUGAAAUCCUGCAGCUUAACUGCAGAACUGCCGUGGAUACUAGUUAUCUUGAAUGUUGUUGAGGUGAGUGGAACAAGUCAUGUAGCGGUGAAAUGCUUAGAGAUGACUUAGAACACCGAUUGCGAAGGCAGCUCACUAAACAAAUAUUGACGCUGAGGCACGAAAGCGUGGGUAGCAAACAGG
rnacentral:rRNA from 1 species